UGGGGAAUCUUGCGCAAUGGGCGGAAGCCUGACGCAGCAACGCCGCGUGAGGGAUGACGGCCUUCGGGUUGUAAACCUCUUUCGCGAUCGACGAAGGUCCAUCUUGUGGGUGGGCUGACGGUAGGUCGAGAAGAAGCACCGGCCAACUACGUGCCAGCAGCCGCGGUAAUACGUAGGGUGCGAGCGUUGUCCGGAAUUAUUGGGCGUAAAGAGCUCGUAGGCGGUGUGUCACGUCGGCCGUGAAAACCUGGGGCUCAACUCUGGGCGUGCGGUCGAUACGGGCAUCACUAGAGUUCGGCAGGGGAGACUGGAAUUCCUGGUGUAGCGGUGAAAUGCGCAGAUAUCAGGAGGAACACCGGUGGCGAAGGCGGGUCUCUGGGCCGAUACUGACGCUGAGGAGCGAAAGCAUGGGGAGCGAA
rnacentral:rRNA from 1 species